rnacentral:rRNA from 1 species
UACGUAGGGUCCGAGCGUUGUCCGGAAUUAUUGGGCGUAAAGGGCUCGUAGGCGGUUCGUCACGUCGGGAGUGAAAACUCGGGGCUUAACCCCGAGCCUGCUUCCGAUACGGGCAGACUAGAGGUAGGCAGGGGAGAGCGGAACUCCUGGUGUAGCGGUGGAAUGCGCAGAUAUCAGGAGGAACACCGGUGGCGAAGGCGGAUCUCUGGGCCGAUACUGACGCUGAGGAGCGAAAGCGUGGGGAGCGAACAGG